UCUAGGCCCCGUCAGGAGCCCGAGUUGUAAUUUGGAGAGGACACUUCGGGCAAAGUGAAGCGGCAACAGCUCAAAUUUGAAAUCUGGCUCUCGGGCCCGAGUUGUAAUUUGUAGAGGAUGCUUUUGGUGAGGUGCCUUCCGAGUUCCCUGGAACGGGACGCCAUAGAGGGUGAGAGCCCCGUCUGGUUGGACACCGAUCCUCUGUAAAGCUCCUUCGACGAGUCGAGUAGUUUGGGAAUGCUGCUCUAAAUGGGAGGUAUAUGUCUUCUAAAGCUAAAUACCGGCCAGAGACCGAUAGCGCACAAGUAGAGUGAUCGAAAGAUGAAAAGAACUUUGAAAAGAGAGUUAAACAGUACGUGAAAUUGUUGAAAGGGAAGCGCUUGUGACCAGACUUGGGCUUGGUUGAUCAUCCGGGGUUCUCCCCGGUGCACUCUUCCGGCUCAGGCCAGCAUCAGUUCGCCCUGGGGGACAAAGGCUUCGGGAAUGUGGCUCUCUCCGGGGAGUGUUAUAGCCCGUUGCGUAAUACCCUGUGGCGGACUGAGGUUCGCGCAUUCGCAAGGAUGCUGGCGUAAUGGUCAUCAGUGACCCGUCUUGAAACACGGGACCA
rnacentral:rRNA from 1 species